rnacentral:rRNA from 1 species
UACGUAGGGGGCUAGCGUUGUCCGGAUUUAUUGGGCGUAAAGAGCGUGUAGGCGGCCAGGUAGGUCUGCUGUGAAAACUCGAGGCUUAACCCCGAGCCUGCAGUGGAUACGGGCAGACUAGAGGUAGGUAGGGGAGAAUGGAAUUCCCGGUGUAGCGGUGAAAUGCGCAGAUAUCGGGAGGAACACCGGUGGCGAAGGCGGUUCUCUGGGCCUUACCUGACGCUGAGGAGCGAAAGCGUGGGGAGCGAACAGG